GACGAACGCUGGCGGCGUGCCUAAUACAUGCAAGUCGACCUUAGUGGGGACGGGUGAGUAACACGUGGGUAACCUCCUAUAAGACUGGGAUAACUUCGGGAAACCGGAGCUAAACCGGAUACUUAGAGAGGGAUCCGCUCUGCAUUAGCUAGUUGGUAAGGUAACGGCUUACAAAGGCAACGAGGUAUAGCCGGCCGGAGAGGGGGAUCGGCCACACUGGAACUGAGCCACGGCCCAGGCUCCUACGGGAGGCAGCAGUAGGGAAUCUUCCGCAAGGGGCGAAAGCCGGACGGAGCAACGCCGCGUGAGUGAUGAAGUUCUUCGGAUCGGAAAACGCUGGUAUUAGGGAAGCGGUACCUAUUCAGAAAGCCACGGCUAACUACGUGCCAGCAGCCGCGGUAAUUC
rnacentral:rRNA from 1 species